UAAAAUUAGUGACGGUUGCAUCCAGUUACCUAACGUUGCCUCAGACAAUGUAGCGUUAUAACGAAGAUGCAUAUCAGAGGGGAUUUAGAAGUGGGCCAGUACAAGUUUAUGCAGGGCAAGUUGACUGACCAGUCAAUGGUCCGUCUGGGUCAGCGGCUGACUGGUCCACUUAUGGAAAGACAGUCGCUCUUCUUUAAGAACGGAGUGGACAUGGGAUUCCACUAUAUUACGGCAUAUCAAAGCUGGGAACGGGACUUCUGAGCUUUUCUUCAGACAGAAAUUGGCCACCAACAAGGCCCUGCCAUGGUCAAGUUCUAUGAAGAGGAUCAUUUACAGUAGCAUGCUGGACCAGAGGUGUGUAUACACAGCCAGCCAGCCAGCAAGAACUGGAAGAAGAAGAGGAUCAAGACGAGUGCGACCAAGCUUGGCAAGCAAGAGGCACUGUGGAUGAGUGUUUGUGUUGAUUGCUGAAAGUAUGUGUGUGUGAGCAGUCUGGAUAAAUAAAAGAUGUAACAUGUAAAAUGC